rnacentral:rRNA from 1 species
AGAGUUUGAUCAUGGCUCAGGACGAACGCUGGCGGCGUGCUUAACACAUGCAAGUCGAACGAUGAAGGAAGAGCUUGCUUUUCUGGAUUAGUGGCGAACGGGUGAGUAACACGUGAGUAACCUGCCCUCUUCUUUGGGAUAACGGUCGGAAACGGCUGCUAAUACUGGAUAUUCACUCAUUGGCGCAUGUUGGUGGGUGGAAAGGUUUUUUCUGGUGGGGGAUGGGCUCGCGGCCUAUCAGCUUGUUGGUGGGGUGAUGGCCUACCAAGGCUUUGACGGGUAACCGGCCUGAGAGGGUGACCGGUCACAUUGGGACUGAGAUACGGCCCAG